AAGAACACCAUGGACCACUGUAGUGAUGGCAGGUUUUACAGCAAGAACACUGUGGACCACUGUAGUGAUGGCAGGUUUUACAGCAAGAACACUGUGGACCACUGUAGUGAUGGCAGGUUUUACAGCAAGAACACUGUGGACCACUGUAGUGAUGGCAGGUUUUACAGCAAGAACACUGUGGACCACUGUAGUGAUGGCAGGUUUUACAGCAAGAACACUGUGGACCACUGUAGUGAUGGCAGGUUUUACAGCAAGAACACUGUGGACCACUGUAGUGAUGGCAGGUUUUACAGCAAGAACACUGUGGACCACUGUAGUGAUGGCAGGUUUUACAGCAAGAACACUGUGGACCACUGUAGUGAUGGCAGGUUUUACAGCAAGAACACUGUGGACCACUGUAGUGAUGGCAGGUUUUACAGCAAGAACAAUGUGGACCACUGUAGUGAUGGCAGGUUUUACAGCAAGAACACUGUGGACCACUGUAGUGAGGGCAGGUUUUACAGCAAGAACACCAUGUUGUGGGGGUGCUUUGCUGCAGGAGGGACUGGUGCACUUCACAAAAUAGAUGGCAUCAUGAGGAAGGACAAUUAUGUGGAUAUAUUGAAGCAACAUCUCAAAACAUCAGUCAGGACGUUAAAGCUUGGUCGCAAAUGGGUCUUUCAAAUGGACAAUGACCCCAAGCAUAAUUCCAAAGUUGUGGCAAAAUGACAACAAAGUCAAGGUGUUGGAGUGGCCAUCACAAAGCCCUGACCUCAAUCCUAUAGAAAAUGACUGGGCAGAAUUGAAAGAGCAUGUGCAAGCAAGGAGGCCUACAAACCUGACUCAGUUACACCAGCUCUGUCAGGAGGAAUGAGCCAAAAUUCACCCAACUUAUUGUCGGAAGCUUGUGGAAGGCAACCCGAAACGUUUGACCCAAGUUAAACAAUUGAAAGGUAAUGCUUCCAAAUACUAAUUGAGUGUGUAUGUAAACUUCUGACCCACUGGGAAUGUGAUGAAUGAAAUACAAUUUGAAAUAAAUCACUCUCUACUAUUAUUCUGACAUUUAACAUUCUUAAAAUAAAGUGGUGAUCCUAACUGACCUAAGACAGGGAAUUUUUACUAUGAUUAAAUGUCAGGAAUUGUGAAAAACUGAGUUUAAAUGUAUUUGGCUAAGGUGUAUGUAAACCUCCGACUUCAACUGUAUAUAAACUCAAUUCUGGGUUAAUUUAGUUGGUGUAUACAUACACAUUACUGGGGCGGCAGGUAGCAUAGUGGUUAGAGAGUUGGGCCAGUAACCAGCAGGUAGCCUAGUGGUUAGAGCGUUGGGCCAAUAACCAGCAGGUAACCUAGUGGUUAGAGCGUUGGGCCAGUAACCAGCAGGUAGCCUAGUGGUUAGUGUUGGGCCAAUAACCAGCAGGUAACCUAGUGGUUAGAGCGUUGGGCCAGUAACCAGCAGGUAGCCUAGUGGUUAGAGUGUUGGGCCAGUAACCAGCAGGUAGCCUAGUGGUUAGAGCGUUGGACCAGUAACCAGCAGGUAGCCUAGUGGUUAGAGCGUUGGGCCAGUAACCAGCAGGUAGCCUAGUGGUUAGAGCGUUGGACCAGUAACCAGCAGGUAGCCUAGUGGUUAGAGCGUUGGGCCAGUAACCAGCAGGUAGCCUAGUGGUUAGAGUGUUGGGCCAGUAACCAGCAGGUAGCCUAGUGGUUAGAGUGUUGGGCCAGUAACCAGCAGGUAGCCUAGUGGUUAGAGCGUUGGACCAGUAACCAACAGGUAGCCUAGUGGUUAGAGCGUUGGGCCAGUAACCAGCAGGUAGCCUAGUGGUUAGAGUGUUGGGCCAGUAAACAGCAGGUAGCCUAGUGGUUAGAGCGUUGGACCAGUAACCAGCAGGUAGCCUAGUGGUUAGAGUGUUGGGCCAGUAAUCAGCAGGUAGCCUAGUGGUUAGAGUGUUGGACUAGUAACCAGCAGGUAGCCUAGUGGUUAGAGUGUUGGACUAGUAACCAGCAGGUAGCCUAGUGGUUAGAGUGUUGGACUAGUAACCAGCAGGUAGCCUAGUGGUUAGAGUGUUGGACUAGUAACCAGCAGGUAACCUAGUGGUUAGAGUGUUGGACUAGUAACCAGCAGGUAGCCUAGUGGUUAGAGUGUUGGACUAGUAACCAGCAGGUAACCUAGUGGUUAGAGUGUUGGACUAGUAACCAGCAGGUAGCCUAGUGGUUAGAGUGUUGGACUAGUAACCAGCAGGUAGCCUAGUGGUUAGAGUGUUGGACUAGUAACCAGCAGGUAGCCUAGUGGUUAGAGUGUUGGACUAGUAACCAGCAGGUAGCCUAGUGGUUAGAGUGUUGGACUAGUAACCAGCAGGUAGCCUAGUGGUUAGAGUGUUGGACUAGUAACCAGCAGGUAGCCUAGUGGUUAGAGUGUUGGACUAGUAACCAGCAGGUAACCUAGUGGUUAGAGUGUUGGACUAGUAACCAGCAGGUAGCCUAGUGGUUAGAGUGUUGGACUAGUAACCAGCAGGUAGCCUAGUGGUUAGAGUGUUGGACUAGUAACCAGCAGGUAACCUAGUGGUUAGAGUGUUGGACUAGUAACCAGCAGGUAGCCUAGUGGUUAGAGUGUUGGACUAGUAACCAGCAGGUAACCUAGUGGUUAGAGUGUUGGACUA